rnacentral:rRNA from 1 species
AGUGAACGCUGGCGGUAGGCCUAACACAUGCAAGUCGAACGGCAGCACAGUAAGAGCUUGCUCUUACGGGUGGCGAGUGGCGGACGGGUGAGGAAUACAUCGGAAUCUACUUUUUCGUGGGGGAUACGUAGGGAAACUUACGCUAAUACCGCAUACGACCUACGGGUGAAAGCAGGGGAUCUUCGGACCUUGCGCGAUUGAAUGAGCCGAUGUCGGAUUAGCUAGUUGGCGGGGUAAAGGCCCACCAAGGCGACGAUCCGUAGCUGGUCUGAGAGGAUGAUCAGCCACACUGGAACUGAGACACGGUCCAGACUCCUACGGGAGGCAGCAGUGGGGAAUAUUGGACAAUGGGCGCAAGCCUGAUCCAGCCAUACCGCGUGGGUGAAGAAGGCCUUCGGGUUGUAAAGCCCUCUUGUUGGGAAAGAAAAGCAGCAGGUUAAUACCCCGCUGUUCUGACGGUACCCAAAGAAUAAGCACCGGCUAACUUCGUG